rnacentral:rRNA from 1 species
GGGUCCAACCUCCCACCCGUGUUUAUUUACCUCGUUGCUUCGGCGGGCCCGCCUUAACUGGCCGCCGGGGGGCUCACGCCCCCGGGCCCGCGCCCGCCGAAGACACCCCCGAACUCUGCCUGAAGAUUGUCGUCUGAGUGAAAAUAUAAAUUAUUUAAAACUUUCAACAACGGAUCUCUUGGUUCCGGCAUCGAUGAAGAACGCAGCGAAAUGCGAUACGUAAUGUGAAUUGCAAAUUCAGUGAAUCAUCGAGUCUUUGAACGCACAUUGCGCCCCCUGGUAUUCCGGGGGGCAUGCCUGUCCGAGCGUCAUUGCUGCCCUCAAGCCCGGCUUGUGUGUUGGGCCCCGUCCUCCGAUUCCGGGGGACGGGCCCGAAAGGCAGCGGCGGCACCGCGUCCGGUCCUCGAGCGUAUGGGGCUUUGUCACCCGCUCUGUAGGCCCGGCCGGCGCUUGCCGAUCAACCCAAAUUUUUAUCCAGGUUGACCUCGGAUCAGGUAGGGAUACCCGCUGAACUUAAGCAUAUCA